rnacentral:rRNA from 1 species
CCUACGGGUGGCAGCAGUGGGGAAUAUUGGUCAAUGGGCGCAAGCCUGACCCAGCAACGCCGCGUGAAGGAAGAAGGCUUUCUGGUUUUAAACUUCUUUUCUCAGGGACGAAGCAAGUGACGGUACCUGAGGAAUAAGCCACUGCUAACUACGUGCCAGCAGCCGCGGUAAUACGUAGGUGGCAAGCGUUAUCCGGAUUUACUGGGUGUAAAGGGCGUGUAGGCGGGAAAGCAAGUCAGAUGUGAAAACCAUGGGCUCAACCUGUGGACUGCAUUUGAAACUGUUUUUCUUGUGUACUGGGGAGGCAGACGGAAUUCCUAGUGUAGCGGUGAAAUGCGUAGAUAGUAGGAGGAACACCAGUGGCGAAGGCGGUCUGCUGGACAGCAACUGACGCUGAGGCGCGAAAGCGUGGGGAGCAAACAGGAUUAGAUACCCUUGUAGUC